rnacentral:tRNA from 2 species
CGGGGCGUAGCGUAGUGGCUAGCGCGCCUGCUUUGGGAGCAGGAGACCGGGAGUUCGAAUCUCCCCGCCCCGA